rnacentral:rRNA from 1 species
UACGACGGGGGCUAGCGUUGUUCGGAAUUACUGGGCGUAAAGCGUAUGCAGGCGGACUUUUAAGUCGGGGGUGAAAUCCCGAGGCUCAACCUCGGAACUGCCUUCGAUACUGGAAGUCUUGAGUCCGGGAGAGGUGAGUGGAACUCCGAGUGUAGAGGUGAAAUUCGUAGAUAUUCGGAAGAACACCAGUGGCGAAGGCGGCUCACUGGCCCGGUACUGACGCUGAGAUACGAAAGCGUGGGGAGCAAACAGG